UGGAGGGAGCGAUUUCAAGUUCGUCUGAAGGAGAAUUGGAGUAAAAUCGCUUGGGUUUUUCAGAGUAAAAGAAAAGGGGAAACAACUUUGGAUUUUGGCAUAGUGUUGUGACGUUUGAAAUGAAAGAAAUGGUGCCGAUUGAAAAGCAAACAGAUAAGCAAAAGAUUUUAGGGGAUUUGCUUUUACUUUUCAGUGGUCUUGGGCAGAGGAAAUGUCAGAUUCAUUAAUGAAGGCCAGUUAAAC
rnacentral:lncRNA from 1 species